UACAGAGGUCUCAAGCGUUGUUCGGAUUCAUUGGGCGUAAAGGGUGCGUAGGUGGCGCUGUAAGUCAGGUGUGAAAUUUCGGAGCUUAACUCCGAAACUGCAUUUGAUACUGCGGUGCUUGAGGACGUGGAGAGGAGACUGGAAUUUACGGUGUAGCAGUGAAAUGCGUAGAGAUCGUAAGGAAGACCAGUGGCGAAGGCGGGUCUCUGGACAGUUCCUGACACUGAGGCACGAAGGCCAGGGGAGCAAACGGG
rnacentral:rRNA from 1 species